rnacentral:rRNA from 1 species
GACAGAGGGUGCAAACGUUGCUCGGAAUUACUGGGCGUAAAGCGCGUGUAGGCGGACCGGAAAGUCGGGCGUGAAAUCCCUGGGCUCAACCCAGGAACUGCACUCGAAACUUCCGGCCUUGAGUGGUGGAGAGGGUAGUGGAAUUCCUGGUGUAGAGGUGAAAUGCGUAGAUAUCGUAAGGAAGACCAGUGGCGAAGGCGGGUCUCUGGACAGUUCCUGACGCUGAGGCACGAAGGUCAGGGGAGCAAACGGG